AUGAGCGGUGAGCUACCGGAGUUGCUAUACUUCAUUAAAAGUAGUCAAAAGGAAGACACUAAAAAAAUCAAUCUCAACAAGGAUGCUCUUCAAGUUAGUUGGAUGAAGGAAGGAACCAACAAGGCCGCUCCUUACCAUUUAACUGGAAUUAACCGAUGCAAGUCCAAGAAGGAUUGGCCGGUGCUGCCGGCUGGCGUCAAGUUUGAUCCCACGGAUCAGGAGCUAAUUGAGCACCUUGAGGCCAAAGUGAGUGCUGACAACGUGAGAUCUCACCCUCUCAUCGAUUUGUUCAUACCAACCAUCGACAGUGAGCAUGGCAUAAGCUUCACCCAUCCUGAGAAACUUCCAGGUAGCAAAAAGGUUCUGGUCCUGCACACCAACAAGAACUUCGACCAGCAGAGGACCAACUGGGUGAUGCACCAGUACCACCUCGGGGACUUGGAGCAAGAGAAGGAGCGGGAGCUGGUCCUCUGCAAGAUUUUCUACCAGACAAACACCAGGCAUAAGCACCUGCCGUUUGAAUUCCUAGUUCUCCAAUUUUUUUACAUCUUCGAAGUACGCAGGGGAUCCAUCCUGUUUCACAGGCUGAUAGUUGGACGCAGCAUGUCGGAACUGGGCUGUGGCAUGCCAAGCCCAGCUGCGAAUUGUUAA
rnacentral:rRNA from 1 species